rnacentral:rRNA from 1 species
ACUUAGUGGCGGACGGGUGGAGUAAGUGCGUGAGCAACCUAGCCUCGGUAGUGGGGGACGAACAGUGGAAACGACUAGCUAAUACCGCAUAAUGUAUUCGGGGGCGAUCCUCUGAAUACCAAAGAUUUAUCGCUCUGAGAUGGGCUCGCGUCUGAUUAGCUAGUUGGUGAGGUAACGGCUCACCAAGGCUGCGAUCAGUAGCCGGACUGAGAGGUUGAACGGCCACAUUGGGACUGAGAUACGGCCCAGACUCCUACGGGAGGCAGCAGUGGGGAAUAUUGGGCAAUGGGCGCAAGCCCUGACCCAGCAACGCCGCGUGAAGGAAGAAGGCUUUCGGGUUGUAAACUUCUUUUAUGAGGGACGAAGAACGUGACGGUACCUCAUGAGUAAGCCACGGCUAACUACGUGCCAGCCGCGGC